UCACCUCUGCAGGCUGGCCACCCCCAGGCUGGGCUGGACUAGUAUCUCUUUGAAAGACUGAACCUCAAGCACGUCCAGGAGC
rnacentral:pre_miRNA from 1 species